ensembl:lncRNA
AGUUCACCUGCGUAGGCAGAAAAGUGACAAUCUUUAUGACUGUGAUGAUCUUAGUGGUCAGAAUGAUCGUUACAAACAUCGAACAUCAAUGAGAGUCGACGCUCUGCAGACUGGAGACCUCAGCCUCACUCUGAGGAAACCCACAGUCUAUGACAGUGGAACCUACACCUGCACCACUCGCAGGGCUGGAGAAGAUCUGAGCAAAACUGUAGUACAGCUGAAGGUCAAAGAACCUCCUCCAGUCUGGCCCAUAGUCCUCUCAGCUGUGCUGGUCACUCUGAUCAUCCCGGCUGCUGCCUUUGGUCUGUGUGUGUGCUGUGCAUUUAUAAGGAAGAAGAGGAGUGACGGAGGUCGGGGAGCAGACCUGUGGAGCUGUGGGGGUGACAGCUGAGACGGAGCGUCUACCUCUGCUUUUCAGGCCUGUUUCUGCUGACUGCUGCAGGUGUGUGUGUGCUGCUGCUGUCCUCUCUGGCUGUUCCUACAGGAUGACUUUUCUUGCACACCCACCACAUGAGGGCGCACAUGCUUCCACGCCCACUGGUGACUGCACACAUCCUUUCAAGGAAGCAUUUCAUUCAUCCCUAAAACUGGAACAAAACACUGUGCAGCGUGUUCAGGUUUGAACGUGGCCCUGGCCUCUCUCUGCAUCCACCUGCAUCGGCACAUACGACACCACUCCCUGCU